rnacentral:rRNA from 1 species
UACGAAGGGGGGCUAGCGUUGCUCGGGAAUCACUGGGCGUAAAGCGCACGUAGGCGGACUCUUAAGUCGGUGGUGAAAUCCUGGAGCUCAACUCCAGAACUGCCUUCGAUACUGAGAGUCUCGAGUCCGGGGAGAGGUGAGUGGAACUGCGAGUGUAGAGGUGAAAUUCGUAGAUAGUUCGCAAGAACCACCAGUGGCGAAAGGGCGGG